GACGAACGCUGGCGGCGUGCUUAACACAUGCAAGUCGAACGGAAAGGCCCUGCUUUUGUGGGGUGCUCGAGUGGCGAACGGGUGAGUAACACGUGAGUAACCUGCCCUUGACUUUGGGAUAACUUCAGGAAACUGGGGCUAAUACCGGAUAGGAGCUCCUGCUGCAUGGUGGGGGUUGGAAAGUUUCGGCGGUUGGGGAUGGACUCGCGGCUUAUCAGCUUGUUGGUGGGGUAGUGGCUUACCAAGGCUUUGACGGGUAGCCGGCCUGAGAGGGUGACCGGCAAAAUGGGGACGGAGAAACGCCCCAGACUCCAAGGGGAGGAAGAGGGGGGAAAAAUUGAAAAAGGGGGGGAAGCCUGAGGAAGAAAGCCGGGGGGGGGGAUGAGGGCCUUGGGGUUGAAAACCGUUUUCGCCGGUGACGAAGGGUGGGGGACGGAAAGGGGAAAAGAAGAACCGGCUAACUAGG
rnacentral:rRNA from 1 species